AUUGAACGCUGGCGGCAGGCUUAACACAUGCAAGUCGAACGAUGACUCUCUAGCUUGCUAGAGAUGAUUAGUGGCGGACGGGUGAGUAACAUUUAGGAAUCUACCUAGUAGUGGGGGAUAGCUCGGGGAAACUCGAAUUAAUACCGCAUACGACCUACGGGUGAAAGGGGGCGCAAGCUCUUGCUAUUAGAUGAGCCUAAAUCAGAUUAGCUAGUUGGUGGGGUAAAGGCCCACCAAGGCGACGAUCUGUAACUGGUCUGAGAGGAUGAUCAGUCACACCGGAACUGAGACACGGUCCGGACUCCUACGGGAGGCAGCAGUGGGGAAUAUUGGACAAAGGGGGCAACCCUGAUCCAGCCAUGCCGCGUGUGUGAAGAAGGCCUUUUGGUUGUAAAGCACUUUAAGCAGGGAGGAGAGGCUAAUGGUUAAUACCCAUUAGAUUAGACGUUACCUGCAGAAUAAGCACCGGCUAACUCUGUG
rnacentral:rRNA from 1 species